rnacentral:rRNA from 1 species
GAUGAACGCUGGCGGCGUGCCUAAUACAUGCAAGUCGAGCGAACAGACGAGGAGCUUGCUCCUCUGACGUUAGCGGCGGACGGGUGAGUAACACGUGGAUAACCUACCUAUAAGACUGGGAUAACUGCGGGAAACCGGAGAUAAUACCGGAAAAUAUAUUGAACCGCAUGGUUAAAGAGUGAAAGACGGUUUUGCUGUCACUUAUAGAUGGAUCCGCGCCGCAUUAGCUAGUUGGUAAGGUAACGGCUUACCAAGGCGACGAUGCGUAGCCGACCUGAGAGGGUGAUCGGCCACACUGGAACUGAGACACGGUCCAGACUCCUACGGGAGGCAGCAGUAGGGAAUCUUCCGCAAUGGGCGAAAGCCUGACGGAGCAACGCCGCGUGAGUGAUGAAGGUCUUCGGAUCGUAAAACUCUGUUAUUAGGGAAGAACAAAUGUGUAAGUAACUAUGCACGUCUUGACGGUACCUAAUCAGAAAGCCACGGCUAACUACGUG